AUGGAGGGAAUGGAGGAGCAGCACAAGAUUAUCAAGCGCAAGCUUCCGGCCAUCCUCGACGUCAUUGCCGACGCCGAGGAGCAGGCGACAACCUACAGAGAUGGGGCGAAAGCUUGGCUCCAGGAGGUCAAGACGGUCGCCUAUGAGGCUAAUGAAGUUUUUGACGAAUUCAAGUACGAAGCCCUCCGCCGUGAAGCCAAGAAGAAGGGGCACUACACCAAGCUCGGAUUCGAUGUAAUCAAACUCUUCCCUACUCACAACCGUAUUGUGUUUCGUUACAGAAUGGGUCGCAAGCUUUGCCGAAUUCUGAAGGCCAUUGAUGUCCUCAUAGCGGAGAUGCAUGCCUUUAGGUUCAAGUACCGACCACAACCGCCGGUGUCCAAGCAGUGGAGGCAGACAGAUUAUGUUAUCAUCGACCCACAAGAAAUUGCCAGCAGAUCCAGAGACAAAGAUAAGAAAAAUAUUGUUGCUACACUACUAGGACAAGCUAACAAUGCAGAUCUAGCAGUUGUUCCCAUCGUUGGAAUUGGGGGCCUUGGCAAGACCACAUUAGCACAACUCAUAUACAAUGAACCUGAAAUUCAGAAGCAUUUUCAGAUGCUGCUUUGGGUCUGUGUCGCUGACACUUUUGAUGUGAACUCCCUGGCCAAGAGUAUAGUUGAAGCAUCUCCCAAGAAGAAUGAUGAUACGGACAAACCGCCACUGGAUAGACUUAAGAAAUUGGUCAGCGGACGAAGAUAUCUCCUUGUAUUGGAUGAUAUCUGGAACAACAAAGAGCUCCAUAGGUGGGAAAGACUGAAGGUCUGUCUUCAGCUUGGUGGCGCAUGGGUAGUGCAGUGA
rnacentral:rRNA from 1 species